AUUGAACGCUGGCGGCAUGCUUUACACAUGCAAGUCGAACGGUAACAGGCCUUCGGGUGCUGACGAGUGGCGAACGGGUGAGUAAUGCAUCGGAACGUGCCCAGAGGUGGGGGAUAACGCAGCGAAAGCUGUGCUAAUACCGCAUGUGAUCUGAGGAUGAAAGCGGGGGACCAGGCAGCAAUGUUUGGCCUCGCGCCUUUGGAGCGGCCGAUGUCCGAUUAGGUAGUUGGUGGGGUAAAGGCCUACCAAGCCGACGAUCUGUAGCUGGUCUGAGAGGACGACCGGCCACACUGGGACUGAGACACGGCCCAGACUCCUACGGGAGGCAGCAGUGGGGAAUUGUGGACAAUGGGCGCAAGCCUGAUCCAGCAAUGCCGCGUGCGGGAAGAAGGCGUUCGGGUUGUAAAGCGCUUUUGUACGGAGCGAAAAGGCUCUGGCUAAUACCUGGGGCUGAUGACGGUACCGUAAGAAUAAGCACCGGCUAACUACGUG
rnacentral:rRNA from 1 species